GACGUGCUUUUUUUAAUUCUUCAUCCCACAGAAUUGCCACGAGAGGAAAUACCUCAGAGGGGCUUCCCUCCAGAGAAGCCCUGAAUGUGCCAGGAGGUUUCAGCCGGGAGAAAGGAGCUGUGGAAGAAAAGCAGCCUAAAAAUAGCCAGUGGGGAUCAUCAGGUUUUCCAGCCAAGAAAAACAAGGAGAGAGAUGAGGGAAUCGGGUUCCAAUUCCUAAUGAUUUGGAAGUGGGCUGGGACAAGGGAAUUGGCUCCCACGAGGCCGAGGAUCAGAGCAGGCUCUGCACAGGGGACGACUUCCACUUCCGAACGGGGAAGGGCACCUUCGUCCCCACCCCCGGCAUGGGGACGGAGUAACAUCUGCCUGCAGCUGGCUGGAGUUCCCCUUGGCUCUGGGCUCUCUGCCCACGGGCCGGGGAUCAUGGCCAGAGUCCUUCAAACCUGGGGAACAGUGGCCUUCACAGCAUCCCUGCAGCCCGUCCAGGGCAGGCUGCUGCCCAUCGGCCCCUGAUCACAGGUGGAUGUAGAAGUGAUGGUGUUUAGGGAAUGUUGAUUGUAUUUCCCUGACUUUAGCAACGUGGUCAUUAAAAAGAGAAAAAUAACAAGUCUAUGGAAAUGCCCUGCACGUGGGAGCUUGCAGCGCUCGGGAUUAAACUUGGCUCUCUAAUGUUAAAACUGUGGGCGAGGGGCGGUGGCCGAGCAGGGCCAGCGGCGGGGCCGGACGGGGCCGGCCCGGGGGUCCCUUCCCCGCGGGGUCGCAGCCGCGGGACCCGCCCCCGCCCCGCGCGGCCCCUCCCGGCGCGCCCCGCCCGGCGUUGGGGGCUGCGGCCGCUCCCGGCGCUGCCGAGGCUGCCGGGGAGGGACCGGCCUGUGCCGGGGGCACGGGGUUCGUUCCUUGGGUUCGAGGGCGGCAGCGGGAGCGGCGCUGCGGGGCGGGACGGGCGGGAGGGGCCGGGGGAGGGCGGGGAAGCCGCGGCGGGGCCCGGGGGCUGCAGCUCUCUGGCUUCCCGACUGGCUUUGCAGACAUUUGCCACCUUCGGAGGAGGCACAAAUCCCCGCGGAGCUGAGCAAGGGGUGCGGGCAGUGCAGGGAGCUGGGGCGGGGCUGUGACCAGGGCAGGGUGUGCGCAGUGCCCCAAACCCGCACCCAAAACCAGCCCGGAACAGCCCCAGAGCCCAGAGCGAAGCGCCGCGGGAUCGCGCCGGGCCCGCCCCUCGACCCGCCCAGGCCCGCCCCCCGGCUCUCGCCGGCCCCGCCGCUCGGCCCCGCCCUGCCCGCCCCCAAGAACGCCGCCGUCCCCGCUGCCCGCCUCGCUCCCCUUGUCCCGGGAGAGCUCCCGGCCGGGCCGUGACCGCGGAGCUCCCACCGCCCUUCCCCGGCCCCAGCAGCGCCCGCCGGGGCUGCGGCGGCGGCGGGAGCAGCGCUGAGGGAACGAGGGGCGGGGCCGGGCUGAGCGGGCGGGGCGGGGCCGCAGGGCCAGGCGGGCUGGGAUUGGGCGGAGGCGCUCGAGUGCUGAUUGGGCAGCGCUGCCGGCCCGCGCCUCGCUCGUGGUUUCCCCUGGGGCGGAGGCGAGUUGUGCUUCCUGCGGGGAGAGAGAAGGGCCUUGGGAAGCUGCUCCAUGAGCCACAGCUGUGCCGAGCCCGGGAGUCUGUCCAGACUUCACAAAGCUCCCCAGGAAAGGAAGCUUUAGAUUCGUCCCCAGCUUUAUGCUAAAGGUUUCCUUCCUCCUAUCUCAGCACCCUUUCUGCUGUUGGGAGAGCACGAGGUGGAUGGAGAGGAUCCCCAGGCAUCUGCAGGCACAAGGGACUCGUACAACUGCGAUUUUCCUACAGCCCUUGCGGAAGGGACUU